GACGAACGCUGGCGGCGUGCUUAACACAUGCAAGUCGAACGGAAAGGCCCUGCUUUUGUGGGGUGCUCGAGUGGCGAACGGGUGAGUAACACGUGAGUAACCUGCCCUUGACUUUGGGAUAACUUCAGGAAACUGGGGCUAAUACCGGAUAGGAGCUCCUGCUGCAUGGUGGGGGUUGGAAAGUUUCGGCGGUUGGGGAUGGACUCGCGGCUUAUCAGCUUGUUGGUGGGGUAGUGGCUUACCAAGGCUUUGACGGGUAGCCGGCGUGAGCGGGUGACCGGCCACAUUGGGACUGGGAUACGGCCCAGACUCCUACGGGAGGCAGCAGUGGGGAAUAUUGCACAAUGGGCGGAAGCCUGAUGCAGCAACGCCGCGUGCGGGAUGACGGCCUUCGGGUUGUAAACCGCUUUCGCCUGUGACGAAGCGUGAGUGACGGUAAUGGGUAAAGAAGCACCGGCUAACUACGUG
rnacentral:rRNA from 1 species